rnacentral:rRNA from 1 species
UACGUAGGGAGCGAGCGUUGUCCGGAUUCAUUGGGCGUAAAGAGCUCGUAGGCGGCUUGGUAAGUCGGAUGUGAAACCUCCAGGCUCCAACCUGGAGUCGCCAUCCGAUACUGCUAUGGCUAGAGUCCGGUAGGGGCCCACGGAAUUCCUGGUGUAGCGGUGAAAUGACGCAGAGUAUCAGGAGGAACACCAAUGGCGAAGGCAGCUCGCUGGGACGGUACUGACGCUGAGACGCGAAAGCGUGGGGAGGCGAACGG